UGAGUAACCUGCCCUCAGCUUUGGGAUAACCCUCGGAAACGGGGGCUAAUACCGGAUAUUCACUGCUUCGCGCAUGUGGGGUGGUGGAAAGUUUUUCGGCUGGGGAUGGGCUCGCGGCCUAUCAGCUUGUUGGUGGGGUGAUGGCCAACCAAGGCGACGACGGGUAGCCGGCCUGAGAGGGCGACCGGCCACACUGGGACUGAGACACGGCCCAGACUCCUACGGGAGGCA
rnacentral:rRNA from 1 species